UACAGAGGUCCCAAGCGUUGUUCGGAUUCAUUGGGCGUAAAGGGUGCGUAGGCGGCGCGGUAAGUCGGGUGUGAAAUCCCCCGGCUCAACUGGGGAACUGCACAGGAAACUAGCGGGCUUGAGUUCGGGAGAGGGAAGCGGAAUUCCGGGUGUAGCGGUGAAAUGCGUAGAUAUCCGGAGGAACACCGGUGGCGAAGGCGGCUUCCUGGACCGACACUGACGCUGAGGCGCGAAAGCUAGGGGAGCAAACGGG
rnacentral:rRNA from 1 species